CCGGAGUUUUUGGCUGCAACUAUGUUGGACAGAGAUAUGCUUGCUAUUGCUGUAAAUUGGUACCAUGUCGGUUGGUUUUGCUUGGUAAGAUUUGUGACGAUGCGUCGGACAAACAACAUUGGGAAAAUAUACAGCCUUGAGCCUUGAUGACCAAUGUAUAUCUCUAUUUGAGGAAUUCUCCAAAGAUCCAGAGCCGAUUGUUUUAUAGAGCUGUGAAGUUGCGUUACACAUACUGGAUUUU